AGCCCGGCUCCUCCCGCCAGGGCCGAGGAGGAGAGGACGCGCGGGUCCCCGGAGUCCCCCACUCCGUCUGCCUAAGCCGUGGAGACCGGGAGUGGACGCACGGCGGUGCCUGGACCCCCGGGGAGGUGGAAGAAGAGGAGAGGGAAGGGAGCUGUGGAGUCAGAUGCGGCUUCCUUUACCUGAAUAAUCCUUUAAAGGAGUAAUAAUUUUUAAAAAGGAGCUCGACCUCAGCCAAAGAGGACGGCGCACGAGAUUAGGGCUUGUAGAUCCACUGCCUUUGGUUGGGCCGGCUGAAUCGCUGGGGACUGCGGCCAGUCUCUUAAAAAAGGAGAACAAAAAGCCGAAGACCUUGUGUGGCCGCCGGGACAAAGCACCUUGGGUUCGGCGAGAAGGGACGCGCAGGAGCGCUGAACCCAGAACACGCGUGGCCGCUGCGGAAGGGCGUCCGCCCGGCGUGCGGAACGCUGAGGGGACUCUCAUCCUCUGUCUCGCCCCCUUUUUUUGACCCGGGGAUCCAGCCGCAUUAUACACGAGUGACCUUUUAAAUCUACGUCCACCCUUUACCUGCGAGAGGACUGCAGCAGGCGAGUUCCGGAAGGCUGAAUCCCCAGGUCCCAGCCCCGGACCGCGGCAACUCGCCCCUGCGGCACGCCCGGCCCGGCUGCGCCCCCACUCAGCGAUGGAGAGGUUGCUGUACCCUUCGCUGAUGUGCUGCCCUCCUGUAAAACCUCCAGAUGCCUUCCCACGUAAUGCCCCUUUCAGAUGCUUUAAGCUGAGAGCUUAAACCACAGCUACAGUCUGGCUUAAAUGAAAGGGGAAUUAUAUGCUUAAGAAAAAGUAGGACACGGUUGAGGCAGUUUGCUGACUGAAUACGCGAAGAAGGACCUGAUGGGCUCAUAUGCACCACUGCCAUCACAGUCCCCAUCGUGAUGCAAGCUUAUAUGAUUCUUGAGAAACAGCCCAGAUCUCCUCUUAAGCGGAAAAGAGAUUGACCUUCUAGCAGAGGCAAAGAAUGGAGUCUUCUGGGGGCAGCUGCAAAGCGUUCUCCCUAGGACAGAUGGAGCCUCCCUUUCCUCAUCUACUCUGUGGGUGGUUUCAGGGCCCACGAGUCAACAUGAGGAGUUGUGCUGGUGGUAUGUGUGUUGGAGGCUGGGCUGGCUGAUUCACAGUGACGAGGAUGUCAAUAAUAACAAGAAUGAGAAUGAUGGUACCUAAUAAAGACUUUUUUUCCCAA
rnacentral:lncRNA from 1 species